UCCUCGCUAGUAUAUCGGUUAGUAUAUUCGCCUCUCAGCCGAGAGAGCCUGAUCUCAGAUCAGGAAUCACCGCGAAAGAGCAGGAUUCAACUCCCUGGCGGGGAA